rnacentral:rRNA from 2 species
UUCCGGUUGAUCCCGCCGGACCUGACUGCUAUCGGAUUGAUACUAAGCCAUGCGAGUCAUUGUAGCAAUACAAGGCAGACGGCUCAGUAACGCGUAGUCAACCUAACCUAUGGACGGGAAUAACCUCGGGAAACUGAGAAUAAUGCCCGAUAGAACACUAUAUCUGGAAUGGUUUGUGUUCCAAAUGAUUUAUCGCCGUAGGAUGGGACUGCGGCCUAUCAGUUUGUUGGUGAGGUAAUGGCCCACCAAGACUAUUACAGGUACGGGCUCUGAGAGGAGUAGCCCGGAGAUGGGUACUGAGACACGGACCCAGGCCCUAUGGGGCGCAGCAGGCGAGAAAACUUUGCAAUGUGCGAAAGCACGACAAGGUUAAUCCGAGUGGUUUGUGCUAAACGAACCUUUUGUCGGUCCUAGAAACACCGAUGAAUAAGGGGUGGGCAAGUUCUGGUGUCAGCCGCCGCGGUAAAACCAGCACCUCAAGUGGUCAGGAUGAUUAUUGGGCCUAAAGCAUCCGUAGCCGGCGCUAUAAGUUUUCGGUUAAAUCUGUACGCUCAACGUACAGGCUGCCGGGAAUACUGUAGCGCUAGGGAGUGGGAGAGGUAGACGGUACUCGGUAGGAAGGGGUAAAAUCCUUUGAUCUAUUGAUGACCACCUGUGGCGAAGGCGGUCUACCAGAACACGUCCGACGGUGAGGGAUGAAAGCUGGGGGAGCAAACCGGAUUAGAUACCCGGGUAGUCCCAGCUGUAAACUAUGCAAACUCAGUGAUGCAUUGGCUUGUGGCCAAUGCAGUGCUGCAGGGAAGCCGUUAAGUUUGCCGCCUGGGAAGUACGUACGCAAGUAUGAAACUUAAAGGAAUUGGCGGGGGAGCACCACAAGGGGUGAAGCCUGCGGUUCAAUUGGAGUCAACGCCGGG